UUAUUGAAAAUAGAUGUAUGACUCCGCAUAAAGAAUUACAGUGAACUUUAUAUAGGCUUCAAAUGGUGACUGAACUGCACAGUGCGGUGCAUUUCAAAUAGUAACGAAAUUUUCUGCAUAUAUAUAUGUAUGUAUAUAUUUUUGUUAUUAUUUGAACCGCACUGUCCUUUAUCCGUAAUUUAACCGCAGAUUUCCUUUCGGAGCCAUAGUUUACAAUGGUAUUUACCCGAGACAGGUUUUGCAUCAAUAA
rnacentral:sRNA from 1 species